rnacentral:rRNA from 1 species
UACGUAGGUGGCAAGCGUUGUCCGGAUUUACUGGGCGUAAAGAGCGCGCAGGCGGUCGUUUAAGUCGAAUGUGAAAGCCCCCGGCUCAACUGGGGAGGGUCAUUCGAUACUGAUCGACUUGAAGGCAGGAGAGAGAAGUGGAAUUCCCGGUGUAGUGGUGAAAUGCGUAGAUAUCGGGAGGAACACCAGUGGCGAAGGCGACUUCUUGGCCUGUUCUUGACGCUGAGGCGCGGAAAGCUGGGGGAGCAAACGGG